CAGCAGCCGCGGGAAAACGGAGGGAGCUAGCGUUGUUCGGAAUUACUGGGCGUAAAGCGCGCGUAGGCGGUUACUCAAGUCAGAGGUGAAAGCCCGGGGCUCAACCCCGGAACUGCCUUUGAAACUAGGUGACUAGAAUCUUGGAGAGGUCAGUGGAAUUCCGAGUGUAGAGGUGAAAUUCGUAGAUAUUCGGAAGAACACCAGUGGCGAAGGCGACUGACUGGACAAGUAUUGACGCUGAGGUGCGAAAGCGUGGGGAGCAAACAGGAUUAGAUACCCCGGUAGUCCCUGUCUCUUAUAU
rnacentral:rRNA from 1 species